ACCAGUGGCGAUAGCACGUUGAUUACAUGAGUUCUCAAUGGAGCACUGAAGUGAAGCAACGUUGCGCGUGGUUAGUAUCCGGAUGGGUGUGAACUCCCUCAAUGUUUGACCGCAGGAU
rnacentral:rRNA from 1 species